rnacentral:rRNA from 1 species
AGUCUAACGUGUGCGCGAGUCGUUGGGACUGUAUGUUAAUCCCGUAGGCGCAAUGAAAGUGAAGAGAAUGAAGGCCUUCUGGUCUCUCAUCACGAGGGAAGACGGGUGUCCGUACUCUCAUGUCGGUGCCCUGCACUCCCGGGGCGUCUCGAUCUCUCCGCAAGGCGAGGCGAGGCGCACCUAGAGCGUACACGUUGGGACCCGAAAGAUGGUGAACUAUGCCUGGCCGGGACGAAGUCAGGGGAAACCCUGCUGGAGGUCCUUAGCGAUUCUGACGUGCAAAUCGAUCGUACGAGCUUGGUAUAGGGGCGAAAGACUAAUCGAACCAUCUAGUAGCUGGUUCCCUCCGAAGUUUCCCUCAGGAUAGCUGGCGCUCGACUAUAACGAGUCUCAUGCGGUAAAGCGAAUGAUUAGAGGCCUUGGGGCCGAAACGACUUCAACCUAUUCUCAAACUUUAAAUGUGUGAGAUCUCCGGCUUGCUACAUUGUUGACGCCGGAGUCGGUCUGGUCCUUGUGGCCAGACCGUUGGAUCGGAGUGCCAAGUGGGCCAUUUUUGGUAAGCAGAACUGGCGCUGUGGGAUGAACCAAACGCCCGGUUAAGGCGCCUAAAUCGACGCUCAUGGGAAACCAUGAAAGGCGUUGGUUGCUGAAGACAGCAGGACGGUGGCCAUGGAAGUCGGAAUCCGCUA